CUUGAAUAUUGCUAUUUACUUCUCUAUCCAGAAGGAAGGGUUAGUUGUAAUCAGGCAUACAGCGGAAACCGUGACUGACCAGACCACUCCUGCUGAGUGAUAUAACACCCUCAUAUUCAAACCCAUCCGUUCUCGCAAAAUGAGCCAGAAUGAUCCGGAAUGUUAAAAAUCUUCCCCCGGCUUUCCAGAGACUAGAGGGACCAGGCCUAAUUAACAUUCCAGAGUUCUGCGAGCCGAGCGGAGGACUCUGGCACUCUCCUUUUUCCUCUUUUCCCAAGAAACUGGAGCAAUCCUGAGAACUAGAGAGUGUUUUGCUGAUGGGAUGUAGGUAGCAAGAGUAUAUCUGCUGCACAGAUUCUUAUUUAAUCAACGAAAAUGCUUGCUAAUAUUUGCGCAAACUUGUUUUGCUCAGGUUUUUGGGUCAGACCUUUCAAAAUCAAGCUAUUUCACUUGACAGCUUACAGAUUGAUGAGAACUAAUUUAAGUCUGGUCUGUCUAAGUUGUAUCGGAUGCUAAGCAGAGUCAUAUUCAAUAGGCACCAAACAGGAGAAACCAGACUGAAACACGGAAGAACCACCAGAAGUUGUCAGGUAAAAAACAAAAACAAAUGUUUUCUGUUGCAAAUGAGUCAAAAGGUUUUCCAUUGUGUUCCCUAAUGAACAUAUCCCUGGCCUUCUUCCACAGACUGACAGGAACUUGCUAUGUGACCAUACAGGAAGUCCAACAGGAAGCAGCCGGUUGCAGGAACAGGAAGAAGCCAGAGAGUGAGAGAGAGAGAGAGAGAGAGCGAGAGAGAGAGAGAGAGAGAGGAGGGUGACCGAUCCGAACAGGAUUGCAAAGUUACAUCUAUAUGCUGUAUAUAGGCCUAUAUAUUCUCAAAUACUCUGAGCAUAUGGUUUAGGCCAAAAAAUCUGCCCUUUACACAAUACACACACACACACAACACAUGCACACACAGACAAACUCACACUCCCACAUCCUCUGUGAGACAGGUAUUACAUGUAAAUACUUGGUGUUAAUCAAACCACUGACGGAUAUAGACUACUGUAUGCAUGACUCAGAUAACACACAUUUUGCACACUAAUAUAAAUACAGUAUAUGACUCAUGGUUACAAAACUAAAUACUCACAUACUAUUGGUUGCUGCUGAGAGUAAACUUUGAUUAUAAAAAACAUCCCGUUUCUCUCAUCAAAACAGUUACACAACAUGAAAAGUAAACCAAACUAUUUUCUUUCUAUUUUUCCUCCAUUGAUGGUUCUCUGCCUUCUAUGCAUGGCCUUAGGCGAGGGGAAAUUCAAAUCUGGUUUUGUGGAGUGAGUUGUUCCUACAUCAAGCAGCACGCUUGUAUUUGCAACUGCAGUCCCAUUAACUUGUAGGCUGGUUAAACCAGACUUAAUGCUGUGCUCACAACAGUGAAAUGUGACGAAAUCAAUGUGCAUGCAAGGUAAAUCAACUUUAAAGACGUUGAACAGGACAGACUGAAGAGAGAGAAACUUUUAGGAAAAUAAUUGCUAUCUAGACCAUAAAAAGGGUUAUUCGGCUGUCCCCAUAGGAAAACCCUUUAAUGAACCCUUUAUGGUUCCAGGUAGAACUCUUUUGGUUCCACUUAGAACCCUUUUGGGUUCCAUCUUGAACCCUUCCACAGAGGGUUCUACAUGGAACCGAAAUGGGUUCUCCUAUGGGGACAGCCGAAGAACCCCUUUGGAAUAAUUUUUUCUAAGAGUGUACCCUUUUCACACAACUGAGCCAAGCCAAGUAGAGCUGUACUGUGCUGGCUUGUAUAGCCGAGCCAGAAUCAAACAGUUUGGGUCAGCUCUAUAGUAUGAAAAGAGUGUUAGAGAACCUCAUCCUCUCAAAAGAUGCUUGUUGAACAGAACAGGACAGACUUGGUGAAGGCUGAGAGAGAUGGGAGCGAAAUAAGGAAUCGAGCUCUCUCUUGCUAUAGUACCAGUGGCGUGCCCGUACCCAUACCGCAGUUGCACGUGGCGGCGAUGCCAGAGCAUUAGGUAACAGAGGAUUAUUCAGAUGAGCAUGGGAAAUGAUUUGCAUUGCUAAUGAACACUGUAUUUAAAGCAGAAUAACAUGCCCUUCAAAUAACAUCUGCUGAGCAGAGAAAUCCCAGCACACCUCUCCUUUCUCUCUGUCACUCUUUCUCUCUCUUUCUCUCUCUCUCUCUUUCUCGCUCUGUCCUUCCCCCAACCCUCACUCUCUCGCUUCUCUCUGUUAAAAUAGUUAUAAGGCAAGAGGAGGGGGAGUGUAGCUCAGUAGCGGAACAUGAAAGAGCCAGUGGUGGAUCCAUGUCUAACAUAACCAUCACAUUGAAUUAACUCUGGGUUCUCUUCUCCCUUCAGAUGCAGAGAAACGUGUCAUAAGUGUUUAAUAGAUGGUUUUGUAAAGAGGUGAGAAACUAGCUUCACAUGUUUGAUUAAUUCAUCCACAUCGCUUAGUGUAGACUACACUCGGAACUGAAGAAGAGGGUUUGUGUUAUCAAUAAGCGCUUGAAUUAAAGUAGAUUAUAAUAAUUUAGAAGUCAACGCUGAAAGACCUCCAGGUCAUGAUAGGAUUCAGAGACCUUGAAAAAACUAAAUUUCACAGCAAGGGCUAUGAUAAUAAUAAUGUACUUACACUGAUAAUUACUAUGUAGUUACAGUAUAUUAACCAUGUAAUUGAAACACACAUCUGAGAAAAAGAUGUGGAGAAAAAAAACAAGGGGGAAGGUGUAUUAUUUGUGUUUAACACACUCUUUUACUUCUAUUUCCAUAAAUUGGCAACACUCGCGAACCAACUAGCCCAGCAAACACAGACCCUGAUUAGGACUUUUACGGUGACCGUAUUACCGCCACACCGGCGGUCACGAGUCACGAGUCACGAAGGCAGUCAAAUUCCAUGUGACCGUUUUGCCACGGUAAUUAGGCUUCUCCAAGCUCUGAUGCUGGUCAUUAACAGCCUACCAAACUUUCUAGCUGCCUGGUACUCAGUACUCUAUUGUUCCUCUACAUUUGCAUUGAUGUCUGAGUGAUUAAUCAGAAAAUCUAAUCAAACACUUCAUGAGAGCCAUGAGCUCAACUUGCGCAACAUUUAAAAAGGCUUUGCAAUUGCGUGAGAAAACAGAGUGAUGGCCUCUAUUAAAAAUAG
rnacentral:lncRNA from 13 species